rnacentral:misc_RNA from 1 species
ACAAGAAGAAGAUAGAAAAAAAAAUAAUUGUCUAUCUUAGCUCUGAUACCAUGUUCGAACUGAUUUGAGAGAGAAAAAAGAAUCUUCUCAUUGAUUGAUUACUAAAGAAUAUAGAAAAAUGUCUUUAUCUACUAAGAUUUUCUAGAGAGAAUUAUCAACUUUCUAUUGCAAGAUACAUGUGUUCAGCCACUAAACUAACUACACUAAAGCGGUGUAGUAUAAAUAACUUUAUUCUCUAACAUUUUAUGUUGUGGCUAAUGACCCAAAUGCUUAUUUGGUAGGUUUUAGCCAUUAAAUAUCAGCACCUGUGGAAGUACGAGGCUGUUACUAUUACAUAUUACAAUAUUUUUCUUGUAAUGUUAUGUGCAGUUAUUUUUUUUGAGUUGGG